AUGUUUACUUCUGCGCGCAGCUGGGCCGCGACGGCAGCACCCCGCCCGGGCUCUGCAGGAUCCGAAGCCCCCCACGGCCCCUUGGAGACCACAUGGCUAAAGGGGUGUCUGGGUCUCGCCCUCCUAAAGGCUGAGGAGGGGGUUCUGGGGAGGGGCACUGUGCCUUCCUCAGACGGACACUUGGAGGUCUCAAGAGGCAGGUGUGCGCCCGCCCCGUCGGACAGGAACACGGCGGCCGGAUUCCGGCUGGGAGAGCGGCUUAGGAUCUGGCUCCACGCCCCCGCCCCUCCCCACGCGCUGACCUGUCGCCCCCCUGACCCCACCCUCAUCCACCCGCUGGCUCUGCCGGAGGGAAUCUCCUGGUCUACCCGGAGUCCCCAGCACCCUCCACGCCCCGUCCAUGGGGCGCAGGUCGUCCCUGUCGUACCCUGCUGCCCCCCCUCCUGCCCUUGGCUUACCUGCUGUGGGCGCCCGACUACCCGUCAGAGGCGGCCGCGCCGGCCCCAGCCCCUGCCCCUGCCCCUGCCGCCGCGACCGCCAUCCGGGCCGCCUGGGCCCGCGGUGCCCGGGGGGGGCCCGGGCCGGAGGGGGCGGCCGCGGGGUGGGCGCGGCGCGGGCCGGCCCAUGGGGCCCCCCCGGGCUCGCUUAGCCGCGGGCAGCGGCCAUCCCGGCCCGGCGGGGGCUGGGGCUGGGGGUGGGUGCCCUGGAUGGCCGACGGCUCGGAGAGCGCGGGGCGCGGGGGCGCACGGACGGCCCGGGCAGCCUCGGAGCGCAGCGCGGGGCUCCGGGGCGGUGGCGCGAGGGGCCUGGGCGCUCGGAGCGGCUCCACGGCGCACUCUCCCGCCGCUCCCGCCGCGGACGGCUCGGCCGGCGCGGGGCUGGGGCGGGGCCGGGGGCGGGACUGGGGGCGGUGGCUCGGGUUUCCCCAGCCCUCCCCCCGCCUCCCCAUCCCCGCCGGAGGGGGACCCCAGGAGCGCAGGUGGCAGAGGCGCGGGAACCAACCACAGACCCCCCUCCCCCGCCUUAGACGGCUUUCUCCCCUGGCCCCUGGGACCCCGACGGCUCCCAUUCGGGGAAGCCAAGACCCUAAGGCACCCGCAGCUACCCCGACACCAGUGCCUUUGGCCCUCGGCGCCCCCCGGUUCUCCCGAGGAUCUGACCUCGCUGCCAGAACCCCCAAACCUGCCCAGGACCCCUUCCGGAAAACGAGACACCCAGAAGUCCCCUCACUAA
ensembl:lncRNA